AUUGAACGCUGGCGGCAUGCCUUACACAUGCAAGUCGAACGGCAGCACGGGAGCAAUCCUGGUGGCGAGUGGCGAACGGGUGAGUAAUAUAUCGGAACGUGCCCGGUCGUGGGGGAUAACGUAGCGAAAGCUACGCUAAUACCGCAUACGAUCUACGGAUGAAAGCGGGGGAUCGCAAGACCUCGCGCGAUUGGAGCGGCCGAUAUCAGAUUAGGUAGUUGGUGAGGUAAAGGCUCACCAAGCCGACGAUCUGUAGCUGGUCUGAGAGGACGACCAGCCACACUGGGACUGAGACACGGCCCAGACUCCUACGGGAGGCAGCAGUGGGGAAUAUUGGACAAUGGGCGCAAGCCUGAUCCAGCCAUGCCGCGUGUGUGAAGAAGG
rnacentral:rRNA from 1 species